UACGUAGGGUGCAAGCGUUACUCGGAAUUACUGGGCGUAAAGCGUACGCAGGCGGCUUUGCAAGACAGGUGUGAAAUCCCCGGGCUUAACCUGGGAAUUGCAUUUGUGACUGCACGGCUAGAGUGUGUCAGAGGGGGGUAGAAUUCCUGGUGUAGCGGUGAAAUGUGUAGAGAUCAGGAAGAACACCAACGGCGAAGGCAGCUCGCUGGGACGGUACUGACGCUGAGACGCGAAAGCGUGGGGGAGCAAACAGG
rnacentral:rRNA from 1 species